AGAGUUUGAUCCUGGCUCAGGACGAACGCUGGCGGCGUGCCUAAUACAUGCAAGUCGAGCGAAUCUGAGGGAGCUUGCUCCCAACGAUUAGCGGCGGACGGGUGAGUAACACGUGGGCAACCUGCCCCUAAGAUUGGGAUAACUCCGGGAAACCGGUGCUAAUACCGAAUAGUUUCCAACACCACAUGGUGUUGGAAGGAAAGUUGGCUUCGGCUAACACUUAGGGAUGGGCCCGCGGCGCAUUAGCUAGUUGGUGAGGUAACGGCUCACCAAGGCAACGAUGCGUAGCCGACCUGAGAGGGUGAUCGGCCACACUGGGACUGAGACACGGCCCAGACUCCUACGGGAGGCAGCAGUAGGGAAUCUUCCGCAAUGGACGAAAGUCUGACGGAGCAACGCCGCGUGAGCGAAGAAGGCCUUCGGGUCGUAAAGCUCUGUUGUCAGGGAAGAACAAGUACCGUUCGAAUAGGGCGGUACCUUGACGGUACCUGACCAGAAAGCCACGGCUAACUACGUGCCAGCAGCCGCGGUAAUACGUAGGUGGCAAGCGUUGUCCGGAAUUAUUGGGCGUAAAGCGCGCGCAGGCGGUCCUUUAAGUCUGAUGUGAAAGCCCACGGCUCAACCGUGGAGGGUCAUUGGAAACUGGGGGACUUGAGUGCAGAAGAGAAGAGUGGAAUUCCACGUGUAGCGGUGAAAUGCGUAGAGAUGUGGAGGAACACCAGUGGCGAAGGCGACUCUUUGGUCUGUAACUGACGCUGAGGCGCGAAAGCGUGGGGAGCAAACAGGAUUAGAUACCCUGGUAGUCCACGCCGUAAACGAUGAGUGCUAAGUGUUAGGGGGUUUCCGCCCCUUAGUGCUGCAGCUAACGCAUUAAGCACUCCGCCUGGGGAGUACGACCGCAAGGUUGAAACUCAAAGGAAUUGACGGGGGCCCGCACAAGCGGCGGAGCAUGCGGAUUAAUUCGAUGCAACGCGAAGAACCUUACCAAGGCUUGACAUGAACCGGAAAGGCCUGGAAACAGGUCCCCCACUUGUGGCCGGUUUACAGGUGGUGCAUGGUUGUCGUCAGCUCGUGUCGUGAGAUGUUGGGUUAAGUCCCGCAACGAGCGCAACCCUCGUUCUAUGUUGCCAGCGGGUUAUGCCGGGGACUCAUAGGAGACUGCCGGGGUCAACUCGGAGGAAGGUGGGGACGACGUCAAAUCAUCAUGCCCCUUAUGUCUUGGGCUUCACGUAUGCUACAAUGGCCGGUACAAAGGGUUGCGAUACUGUGAGGUGGAGCUAAUCCCAAAAAGCCGGUCUCAGUUCGGAUUGAGGUCUGCAACUCGACCUCAUGAAGUUGGAGUCGCUAGUAAUCGCAGAUCAGCAACGCUGCGGUGAAUACGUUCCCGGGCCUUGCACACACCGCCCGUCA
rnacentral:rRNA from 1 species